UCUUCUUUUUUUCAUGCAUGUUGAUAUUUUUGCAUGAAAGAAUGUUUUCUUUUAUGGAGCAUGUUAUCUCAUUUGAUGGAAGGUUAUGAAAAUACCUUUGCAGGAAGAAGUGCUAACUUAAAGACUAGUAUGUGGGCAACCAAUGUCAGAAAAAAAAGGUAAAGGUAAAGGUAAAUUUUAUUUACCGUCGCUUUGUGAAACAGUUAACAUAAGCUCUGUAGAGCUUUUUAGCGACCCUAUUUAAAGAACAGUUAAAACCAAUUAUACCUUACCCCCAGCAAUUUGCUGGUACCCAUUUGCAGCUGGGUCGACUGAGGCAAUCGUGAUAAAGUGCCUUGCCCAAGGACACACCGCAAUGGGAGUAGCCAGGAUUCGAACCAGGGGCCUUCACCUCCAUAGGAAAGCGUCUUAGCCCACUCAACCAAUGCGUCCACGUCCGCGUCAGAAAUGAACAUGGACAAGUGAUCAUGACCGUCAUGACUACAAGCUAAGGCUAUGGUCUGUCUAACAUGAUACAAGACCUGUGUGCACGCUACCAGAAUGCCUUAGGGCCAUCUCCUCGGAUCCUGUAUGCUGAUAGGGACUGCUGUGGUGCUGCAUAUAUUGGAAAAUGCUUAAAAACCUGGUGAUACCUUACAGUGAGGCCGGAUAUCUGGCAUUUCAUGCAGAGAUUGUCUGUCGGAUGCACAACUGAUGCCCAUCUAUUGUACGGGACCUUCAUGGGUUGUCUCAGCCACUGUAUCUUCAAGUGGGAGGAUGAAGCCGUCAAGACACUCCCAGUCCUUUUGACAACUGGCAGGCUCGACAUGUUGCCCUUUGGCAUCUAGUGUUAGUUUUAUAAUAUUUAGCUUAUAAGACUGGAAUUUUGACCAAAUUCAAAGAAUUUUGACUCUAAGGUGAAAAAGUGGACUAACUGCAUAAUAAGACAUCUAUAUCUUUGCACAGGCUAUAAAGAAGUGUCAUCUGUUUUCAUGGGUAGUUCCGAGUAUGUUAUUUGAUUGAGGAUAAAUUACAUAUUAUUGUACAUUACGUUUUCAUCUGUCUGUGAUAUUUACAUAUUUUCAUGAAAUUUCCUUAAAACCAUGUGUAUUUACAAUAUAAAUAUUUCUUGCACGA